AAUUUUGGACACUGGGGGAAACCCUGAUCCAGCCACCCCGCGUGUAUGAUGAAGGCCUUCUAGUUGUAAUGUACUUUUGGCAGAGAAGAAAAGGUAUCUCCUAAUACGUGAUACUGCUGAUGGUAUCUGCAGAAUAAGCACCGGCCACCUACGUCCCAGCAGCCGCGGUAAUACGUAGGGUGCAAGCGUUAAUCGGAAUUACUGGGCGUAAAGCGUGUGUAGGCGGUUCGGAAAGAAAGAUGUGAAAUCCCAGGGCUCAACCUUGGAACUGCAUUUUUAACUGCCGAGCUAGAGUAUGUCAGAGGGGGGUAGAAUUCCACGUGUAGCAGUGAAAUGCGUAGAUAUGUGGAGGAAUACCGAUGGCGAAGGCAGCUCCCUGGGAUAAUACUGACGCUCAAACACGGAAGCGUGGGGAGCAAACAG
rnacentral:rRNA from 1 species